rnacentral:rRNA from 1 species
UACGUAGGGCGCAAGCGUUGUCCGGAUUUAUUGGGCGUAAAGAGCUCGUAGGCGGUUUGUCGCGUCUUCCGUGAAAACUGGGGGCUUAACUUCCAGCUUGCGGUGGAUACGGGCUGACUGGAGUGCGGCAGGGGAGACUGGAAUUCCUGGUGUAGCGGUGAAAUGCGCAGAUAUCAGGAGGAACACCGGUGGCGAAGGCGGCGACCUGGGUAGAUACUGACGCUGAGGUGCGAAAGCGUGGGGAGCAAACAGG